GACGAACGCUGGCGGCGUGCUUAACACAUGCAAGUCGAACGAAGUGGCGCACGGGUGAGUAACGCGUAAUCAUCCUGCCCUUCAGAGGGGGACAACAGUGGGAAACGACUGCUAAUACCGCAUACUGAAGUAGGGGAUUGCGUCGGAAUAGCUAGUUGGAGGGGUAACGGCCCACCAAGGCGAUGAUCAGUAGCCGGGCUGAGAGGAUGACCAGCCACAAUGGAACUGAGAAACGGCCCAGACUCCUACGGGGGGCAGCAGUGGGGAAUCUUCCGCAAUGGACGAAAGUCUGACGGAGCAACGCCGCGUGAGUGAUGACGGCCUUCGGGUUGUAAAGCUCUGUUAAUCGGGACGCGGUACCGGAAUAGAAAGCCACGGCUAACUACGUGCCAGCAGCCGCGGUAAUUC
rnacentral:rRNA from 1 species